GUAGGUGGCAAGCGUUGUCCGGAAUUAUUGGGCGUAAAGCGCGCGCAGGCGGUUCUUUAAGUCUGAUGUGAAAGCCCACGGCCCAACCGUGGAGGGUCAUUGGAAACUGGAGAACUUGAGUACAGAAGAGGAAAGCGGAAUUCCACGUGUAGCGGUGAAAUGCGUAGAGAUGUGGAGGAACACCAGUGGCGAAGGCGGCUUUCUGGUCUGUAACUGACGCUGAUGCGCGAAAGCGUGGGGAGCAAACAGGAUUAAAUACCCUGGUAGUCCACGCCGUAAACGAUGAGUGCUAAGUGUUAGGGGGUUUCCGCCCCCUUAGUGCUGCAGCUAACGCAUUAAGCACUCCGCCUGGGGAUACGGCCGCAAGGCUG
rnacentral:rRNA from 1 species